GAUGAACGCUGGCGGCGUGCUUAACACAUGCAAGUCGAACGGUGAAGCGCCUUCCUUUUUGGUGGGUGGGGAGGAGCGGCGAACGGGGGAACAACACGAGAGUAACCUGCCCCCUUUGGCUGGAUAACCGCAAGAAAGCGUGGCUAAUACGGGAUAUUCUGGAUCGCUCGCUUGAUGGGUCUGGGACAGAUAUUGUUUCGGUGGUGGAUGGGCUCGCGGCGUAUCAGCUUGUUGGUGGGGUGAUGGCCUACCAAGGCGGUGAUGGGUAGCCGGCCUGAGAGGGUGGGCGGUCCUACUGGGAAUGCGACACGGACCAGACUCCGACGGGAGGCAGCAGUGGGGAAUAUUGAACAGUGGGGGGAAGCAUGAUGCAGCGACGCCGCGUGAGGGAUGGAGGCCUUCGGGUUGUGAACCUCUUUCGCGAGUGAAGCAGGCCUGCCUCGUUUGUGGGUGGGUUGACGGUAGCUGGAUAAGAAGCGCCGGCUAACUACGUG
rnacentral:rRNA from 1 species